rnacentral:rRNA from 1 species
UACGUAGGUGGCAAGCGUUGUCCGGAUUUAUUGGGCGUAAAGAGCGCGUAGGCGGUUUUUUAAGUCUGAUGUGAAAGCCCCCGGCUUAACCGGGGAGGGUCAUUUGAAACUGGGAGACUUGAGUGCAGAGGAGGAUAGUGGAAUUCCAUGUGUAGCGGUGAAAUGCGUAGAUAUAUGGUGGAACACCAGUGGCGAAGGCGGCUCUCUGG